GUACAGAGGUCUCAAGCGUUGUUCGGAUUCAUUGGGCGUAAAGGGUGCGUAGGUGGCGUCGUAAGUCGGGUGUGAAAUUUCGGAGCUUAACUCCGAAACUUGCAUUCGAUACUGCGGUGCUUGAGGACUGGAGAGGAGACUGGAAUUUACGGUGUAGCAGUGAAAUGCGUAGAGAUCGUAAGGAAGACCAGUGGCGAAGGCGG
rnacentral:rRNA from 1 species